ACGGAAGGCAGCAGUGGGGGAUAUUGCACAAUGGGGGAAAGCCUGAUGCAGCGACGCCGCGUGAGUGAAGAAGUAUUUCGGUAUGUAAAGCUCUAUCAGCAGGGAAGAAGAAUGACGGUACCUGACUAAGAAGCACCGGCUAAAUACGUGCCAGCAGCCGCGGUAAUAAGUAUGGUGAAAGCGUUAUCCGGAUUUACUGGGUGUAAAGGGAGCGCAGGCGGUACGGCAAGUCUGAUGUGAAAGCCCGGGGCUCAACCCCGGUACUGCAUUGGAAACUGUCGAACUAGAGUGUCGGAGGGGUAAGUGGAAUUCCUAGUGUAGCGGUGAAAUGCGUAGAUAUUAGGAGGAACACCAGUGGCGAAGGCGGCUUACUGGACGAUAACUGACGCUGAGGCUCGAAAGCGUGGGGAGCAAACAGGAUUAGAUACCCUGGUA
rnacentral:rRNA from 1 species